rnacentral:lncRNA from 1 species
GAGACAUCACUCAUUGUCUUGGUUUGGAAUUCUUACUCUAAAUGAUUCAUUUGAAGUGUUUUCCUCUUACAUCUGACUAAAAUCGUGAACUCAGGUACAGUGGAACAUACUUAAAACUCCAGCUGCCCGGGAGGCUAAGGCUAGCUGUGAAAGUCACAAGACACCCUGUAUUAAAGUAAAAUAAGGAACAGUGAAGAUAAAAUAAAAUAAAAAUUCAGAGCACAAACCAAAUACUUGAAGCAAAAAUGAGUUUUCAUUUUCUUUCUCUUUUCAGACAGCACUUUCCAUAGGCCAGUGUAUGUAGCAAUGAUGGGUUAUUUAAGUUUUCCUUGGAAAUUUGUAUCAUGGAUUAGUCCAAUAAUUUGAAUUCUGGCCAGUCUGUUUUCAUCCUUUUUUCUAGGUUUUGCAGUAUUUCCACCAUACAUAUAGAAAAGGAGAAUUAUAUAUCUGUAUCAUAUUGGUGUUGAUAAUGUAUAUUAAGAUAAUGAUAUUUUGUUACAGUGUCUUUAUUAUCUCAAAGGGGGUUCUAAAGUAAAUACUCAAAGCAUAUACUUUUUAGACAUUAUUUUAUACUGAAACAACUGACAGUAGGUAGGACAUUACUGAUUAAAUCUAGUUUAUUUGUUCCAAUGACUGUAAAAUUUGCCUCAUAGAUUGUCUGGUCAUUAAAGAAUGUAUUGUAAUUACCUUUCAUGCAUGAUACAUCUGCGAUUGCUCUGUUGCCUUUCCUCUGAUGACCUCCUUGGGGCAGCACUUGAUUGGUACACUUUGCCAACUGUAAAGCUUCUACUUUCUCACCUUGACAUGGUGACUGGUGUCUCCCAUUUCUUGGAGCCUCCCUUUGGCUGCUUUUGUUCCCUGCCAGGACAGACCCAUGUAAAGCACUAAGAUCUCCGUUGGUAUGUUGAACACUUGCUUUAGUGGAGUGGGAGUCCUUGUGUCUUCAAAGUCUGAUCAUCUCAAAGCCUGUUUCUCCUGCAAAGUGUGGACUAAUCCUUCUCUGUCGCAGUAUUAAUGUUACAAAUACAAGGAAGAUAAUACUG